GGAGAGGUGGCUCAGUGGUUAAGAGCACUGACUGCUCUUCCAGAGGUCCUGAGUUCAAUUCCCAGCACCCACA
rnacentral:tRNA from 1 species